GGAUUGUGGCUCAGUGGUAGAGUGCUCGCCUAGUAUGGGCGGGACUGGGUUCAAACCUCAGCACCA
rnacentral:tRNA from 1 species